UGGGUGUUGGCUCAAUGGGUAAGACUGCUUGUUCUGCAAGCAUGAGGACCUGGGUUCAAAUCCCAAGCAUCCAC
rnacentral:tRNA from 1 species